rnacentral:rRNA from 1 species
GACGAACGCUGGCGGCGUGCCUAAUACAUGCAAGUAGAACGCACAGUUUAUACCGUAGCUUGCUACACCAUAGACUGUGAGUUGCGAACGGGUGAGUAACGCGUAGGUAACCUGCCUGGUAGCGGGGGAUAACUAUUGGAAACGAUAGCUAAUACCGCAUAAUAUUGAUUAUUGCAUGAUAAUUGAUUGAAAGAUGCUAUUGCAUCACUACCAGAUGGACCUGCGUUGUAUUAGCUAGUAGGUGAGGUAACGGCUCACCUAGGCGACGACACAUAGCCGACCUGAGAGGGUGAUCGGCCACACUGGGACUGAGACACGGCCCAGACUCCUACGGGAGGCAGCAGUAGGGAAUCUUCGGCAAUGGACGAAAGUCUGACCGAGCAACGCCGCGUGAGUGAAGAAGGUUUUCGGAUCGUAAAGCUCUGUUGUAAGAGAAGAACGGGUGUGAGAGUGGAAAGUUCACACUGUGACGGUAUCUUACCAGAAAGGGACGGCUAACUACGUG